rnacentral:rRNA from 1 species
ACGGGAGGCAGCAGUGAGGAAUAUUGGUCAAUGGGCGGAAGCCUGAACCAGCCAAGUCGCGUGAAGGAUGAAGGUAUUAUGUAUUGUAAACUUCUUUAGACGUAGAGAAAUAAGGCGCUCGUGAGCGCUGAUGCUAGUAUACGUAGAAUAAGGAUCGGCUAACUCCGUGCCAGCAGCCGCGGUAAUACGGAGGAUCCGAGCGUUAUCCGGAUUUAUUGGGUUUAAAGGGUGCGCAGGCGGCUUUUUAAGUCAGUGGUUAAAUCGUGACGCUCAACGUCAUCACGCCAUUGAUACUGGAGAGCUUGAUUGCGGUCGAGGUUUGCGGAAUUCGUUGUGUAGCGGUGAAAUGCAUAGAUAUGACGAAGAACACCGAUUGCGUAGGCAGCAGACCAGGCCGUAAAUGACGCUCAUGCACGAAAGUGCGGGGAUCGAACAGGAUUAGAUACCCUGGUA